CAGCUGGAAGUACCACAAAAUAGAAGAAAGAGAGUUCAUGCUAGUGGACCUGAGCAAGUACGCUUAGUGAGCAGACCAAAAGAUACAAUAAAGCAUCAUCAUGACUGCGAGGGUAGCAAUGAAUUCUCAUAUCAAGGACAAUCAUCACCAACACCUCCUUUUCCUGAAGAACGGGAGCACAUGAGAAAGAGCGGUGAGAAUCUGGAUGAAAAUUCGAGAAGAG